rnacentral:lncRNA from 1 species
CACACCUCGGCUAUAUAACGAAUGGUCUAGCUCACCCCUCAGUAUUAAAUGGUUGAUAUUACACCAGGGCGGAAGGUGGCAUAAUGCAACAGAACAUGGCUUACCGUCCUGAUAUUCCCUCAGUUUCAGGUGCGUCCAUGAAAAUUACAGACAUUAGCACAGUGUUCAAGGAGUGGGCAUGGACGACCUAUCUCAAGACACCCAGACAAGGUUUACUUUCCAGAAAGUUGAAGCUUACAGAAGCUGAUAUCGAAUUGAAAUGGCAUAGAGUGAAGAUCACGUCCCUAACGCCAAAGUACACGAAAGUUGAGGCGACUCCCCACCAAAGUACACGUUCUCUACGACUCCAAAUACAAUAACAGUACCAAGGAUGACCAAGAACAGACAUUCAGGGCUGAGAAGGAGACAGUUUCCACAGCAACCACCAAACUAACCAAAGGUUUUUCCAGGGAUAUAAACGUCGGCAUCGAACUUACCCUUCCUCCAGAUCUGGACCAACCUUCCAAAGCAGAGGCCAGCUUUGGCCAUCGACUGUAUGUGGAUAACGAGGAACAGAACACUGUUGAAAGUAAGGUCAAGUGGUCUGUGGACACCAAAAUCACCUCUAGACGUAAUGUCGUCACUGUAGCUGAACUGGCAAUAGAGGAGAAAAGCUGCCAGUAUGAGUUCUCAAUGGACGUGAAAGUUAAAGGGACGGUCCUUGCAGUCAUACGGGACGCCCGUGGUGAGAGGAGACACGUCAUGACUGUUGAGGGGACGUGGCUACCGUUCUGAGGGACAUUAAAGACAAAGACAGAUUUGGUAAACUUUUCAGUGUAGAUAUCAACAAAUCUCGAACCGUUACCUGGCCCGUGUCCGGCUCUCUCCACCUUAAAUACGGAGUGUCACAGACUGUCAAGAUAUAUCAACUAUAACCUUCGAAAAACGAGGGUUAGAAUUUUGGCAGGAACAUUUGUUCCAACUGCAGAUAUUCGGUUUUGAUUCCCCAGAUGGGAGUUAUUCAUGAAGAAUAUUUGUCGUUUCUGGAACGAGUUGUUACUGGACUGCUGCCAAUGGCAACCCUUUUUAAGUACCGAUGUCAAGCUUCGAAAAUAACUGUCAGUAACAGCAGACAUAUUGAUAAUCAAUUUCAUUUUGUACAAGUCCUUGGACCAACGUACAGACAUGGUUGAAGUGUUGUGCCUUACUCCAGAUACAUUUUAUGUCAGUUCAACCCAAGAGCAUGACAUCUAGGAGACUGUCCAUGAAUGAACUUACUGUGAAACCAACAAAAUAGACAUAUGCUGUAAUCAACGAUUAAAUGUUUUGUGAUUGAUUCCAUUAUACCCAUCAGUGUAAAAUAGUCAAUCUUCUUAAACAGGACAGAGCUUCGCGUGUGAAACUUCAUGUGUCAAACAAUGGAAAACGUUCCGAUUAUAAUGUUCUGUGUUUCCGUAUAGAUUCUCAUCGUGCAUUUGAGAAACACAAAUAGAGACGGUGUACGGAUUAACACCGAUUUAUUACAGAGAUGAAUAUGUGAGUAUGACUGUGUGGUUAACUUGUAUUGUCAACAGUUUUGUAAUGGUAACGAUAUCAGAACUGAUUUACAAUUAAUGUCAUUAUAAUACGAUACUGAUGAAUACCAUUCCAGUGUUAAUUUGCCCAUACCGUACAUAAACCAGAAGACUGUACAUCCCUAGCUGUCAUUACAUGUAUCCAUCUCGAACAAAUUUUAUUCAACUUCUAUCAGAAGAAAAAUUAUGUAUGCAAAAUGUUUACAUACAUUGCCAAUGUAACAUCGAUGUUUUAUUCAUACAAUAUAACAUGUGAUAAAUGUUUAGCUUCGGUUAGUGGAAUUAACCAUGUUGCCUUUCUUGUCGAAUAAACCUCUUCAUCAU